rnacentral:rRNA from 1 species
CCCUUAGACGUUCUGGGCCGCACGCGCGCUACACUGACCAGUGCAACAAGCAUCCGUCCUUGGCCGACAGGCCCGGGCAAUCUUUGAACGCUGGUCGUGAUGGGGAUAGACUUUUGCAAUUUUUGGUCUUCAACGAGGAAUUCCUAGUAAACGCAAGUCAUCAACUUGCAUUGAUUACGUCCCUGCCCUUUGUACACACCGCCCGUCGCACCUACCGAUUGGGUGUGCUGGUGAAAUGUUCGGAUCGGCCGUUUGUCGCGGUUUCCGCGUCAUGUGGCUGAGAAGUUCAUUAAACCCUCCCACCUAGAGGAAGGAGAAGUCGUAACA